UUGAUCACCCUGCAUCUUCUGCUAACAAAUAUGGUACUCCACGCAUUAAGUUUUUUGACAAUGAGACCAUAAAAGAGUUGGCUCGUGGUGACAGCCCCCCCCCGUAAAACUGGUGAACCAUUCGGAUAUGCAGAGUUUCGUAGCCGUUCAGAAACGUGUUACGUCAUUGCUCCAGAACGGCCUGCUUCUGCCGUUUUCAACAUAUAUGUGCCACGUAUCAAUAAUUUGAUUGGCAACAAGUUGCAAUGUUUGCCCUCCCAGCAGCGUCCAAUGUUUCAAUCAUUGUUUGAUGCUCAUGACAAAGAGGUGGAUAAAUACUGUGAUUCCCUUCAGCUGAGCCAUCAGAUGAUGGUUUCGAAGCAGAUUGAACUCUCUCAAACAUUUGGUGAAAUGAUCGAUGAAGUUCUGAGAGCUGCAACGUAGCGCGAUUCACAGCCAGAAGGUUUUAGUAUUUAUGUUUAUUUUUUUAAACUAAUCAAGUUCACGAAUUAUUUCCUGGAAAAUAAUAUAUACUUAUACGAUCUCAAAUAAUUUAUUAUAUGCAGUUUUGUAUAUACAAAUUAUAUAUUAAUUUAUACUCAUACAAGCAGCAACAUAUUUUUUCAGUGUA